ACUCAAAUGAAUUGACGGGGGCCCGCACAAGCGGUGGAGGAUGUGGUUUAAUUCGACGCAACGCGAAGAACCUUACCAAGGCUUGACAUCCACAGAAUUUUAUAGAAAUAUAGAAGUGCCCGAAAGGGAACUGUGAGACAGGUGGUGCAUGGCUGUCGUCAGCUCGUGUCGUGAGAUGUUGGGUUAAGUCCCGCAACGAGCGCAACCCUCGAUGUUAGUUACCAUCAUUAAGUUGGGGACUCUAACGUGACUGCCGGUGAUAAGCCGGAGGAAGGUGAGGACGACGUCAAGUCAUCAUGCCCCUUACGUCUUGGGCUACACACGUCCUACAAUGGUAUAGACAAAGGGCUGCAAGACCGCGAGGUUGAGCGAAUCCCAUAAACUAUAUCUCAGUUCGGAUUGCAGGCUGCAACUCGCCUGCAUGAAGUCGGAAUCGCUAGUAACCGUAGAUCAGCAUGCUACGGUGAAUACGUUCCCGGGCCUUGCACACACCGCCCGU
rnacentral:rRNA from 1 species